UACGGGGGGGGCAAGCGUUGUUCGGAAUUACUGGGCGUAAAGGGCUCGUAAGCGGCCAACUAAGUCAGACGUGAAAUCCCUCGGCUUAACCGGGGAACUGCGUCUGAUACUGGAUGGCUUGAGUUUGGGAGAGGGAUGCGGAAUUCCAGGUGUAGCGGUGAAAUGCGUAGAUAUCUGGAGGAACACCGGUGGCGAAGGCGGCAUCCUGGACCAACACUGACGCUGAGGAGCGAAAGCCAGGGGAGCAAACGGG
rnacentral:rRNA from 1 species